GCCAGACCCUGAAGGACAAGCUGGAACCACAUGGGAUAGUCUGGACCUAUGGAUGCACUUCUAAAGGUCCUAAGCUGCCACCCAGCAGUCGUCAUCUUUGGAUUUCUCCUCCCUCAGCCUCAGUUCCCACAUCUGGGAAGUGGAUACAGCAGCCUCUGGUAUCCUGUGAAAAGGAUAAGCACCAUAUGAGCACCUCAGGCAGGGAGUGGCCAGGCCAGGCCAGGCAGAGAUGGAGGUCUCAUCAGGAGACCUGAGCCCCAAAUCCUUCUGCCUAGCUGGGGAGAACCUGGACCAUUGGCCAGGCUCCUGUGCUAUAGUUUCUCUGUCUGUUACAGGGGCAGAAGCAGCAGGGCCAUGAUUGAAAGAGCAUUUACUUCACUACACAGGUCACAGUAAAGUGCUGCAAUGUCUACCAAGAAAGGCUGUGGGGGUCCUGGAGGCCCCUCUAGAGAAACAAGCCUUGGGGUGCUAGGCACAUCUGGGAGCUUGUGAGGUCUCUCUCUUGCCUCACCCUGAUGGCCAGGCUCAAGGCAUCCUAGUUGGUGUUUAUUGGGCUGUGCCUCCCCAAGCCUGCCCUUUACCUAAAGGCGUAUUCAUUUCAGUAGCUUCGGAUGCCACCUUCUCCUGCCUUCCCAGCAUAGUCUGUUCUACGCAAUGACCCUAAAGGAUGAUGUCUGUGAUUUCACCAUGGCUAGCAAAAAGGGCUGGGGCCAGCACACCUCCACCAGCCCCAAACCUGGUCCUGGCCUCCAGGGCUAAGUCCUCCAUGCCGGUGGGCACAGGAAGCUGGGUUUCCCAAGCCCCUUGGUCAGGUGAUAACCAAGGACUGGGCUGAGAUUUGGACUCGCCAGGGGCACAGGAGUGGAAGCCGCUGUUUUCACCCGUUGGCUCCCACAUGGAGAAAUUAUGGCCCCUGGGUCAUGUCUUGCUCCUUUCCCCUUAGUUUCUCUGUUUGCAUGGAAGCAGCAUUUACAGUGGAGAGAACUCAGGACUAUCUCUCUGGGGUCCUGCCUGGCCCCUAGGUGGUGUAUAGACAGCUUGAGUGGGGCGAAGCUGUAGCUCUGGACAUGUGUCCUGCUGUCUACACUCUCUUCCUCUAGCCCUUGCAGGUCCCCAAACGAGGAGUGAGGCCAUCCUAUGUAUAGAGUACCCAGGCACGCAGCUUAGAGCCACUCACAGGUCUGAAUGCCUGGCACCCUGGCACCUGCCAUCUCUGUGGAGAUGGCCACUGCUACUCAAAAAGUACCCUGGGAAGAAGCGGUGAGGGCAGAGCCAGGAAGCUGUGUCUGCAUUCGUGUGUAAGAUGGUGGGCUGGGUCACUGACACAGCUGAUCUGUUUUGGACCCCUCUGCAAAGGCGGCUAUCAGGGUUACUUUAUGACCCCUGGAAGGAUCGAGAAAAUUUCCCUCCCACCUUUGCCUGAACCCAUUACAUCUGGAAAACCUGACUUCUGUUUGAACCAUCGAAGCCCUUCACAUUCUCUGUUUCCAUACAGUCUGUCAGAGUGCUACCUGACCACUAGGAAAAUCCCACCUGUGCAGGGAGCUCGUAUAGUACAUUGCUGUCUCGUGGUGACACGACCUUUAAGAUUUUGAAAUCAGAGACCCUCCCAAGGUCAGGCUCGCUGAUGCUCUCUCGGGGAAGGGAUGAACAGAGGGUCAUCAGACCCUGGAUUCCACCGCGGUCCCUCUCCUGAUCCCCUAGUGCACAUGAUCCUACCUCAGCUGUACAGGGCCUCUGGAGGGUAUAGGAGGGGGAAAGUUCACUGGAGGAAGAGGGCUCCGUCAGUGUGGCUUUGGAGAGGUGGUCAUCUAUGCUGCAGGGGGACUCUCAGUGACGCAACCUGGGCCACCAUGUUCCUAGGUGUGCUGGGUCACCAAGCUGCACCUGGCCUGCUGUCUUUGUCUCCACUCCUUGAACAGUCUCAUCUUGGAUCAGGCUGCUCCCCAUCUCCACGGCUGCUCUCUCAUUCACCCCAAGUGGGAUCUUGGCGACUGGGGGAAGGAAGGGAGAGGCCCCAGUGCGGCUCCUGUCUCUACUAGGUUGUCAGGCCUUCUCCCUUCAUGGAAAGUCAAGCUGACACUACAAAACUGAAAGGGGCCCCAGGCACGCACAUAUAACCCUCACUGGCCAUGCCUUCCUCUGCUCCGUAAGCAUGAACAGUGGCAGCUUGGAGACACACGGCGUUGCCAGUACACUCAGGAACUGUAAUGUCCUGUCAGCGAUUAAAUUGGGGCCCCAGAAAUCCAAGAUCUUCGAGGCCAAUUUGAACAGAAUCCACAGAGGACUGGUGGCACUAAUCUGAAGAUAACAUCAUGGAAACUGCAAGGGGACAGACACAAAAGGGCAGUAAACGACGGUGGUGGGGAGGCUGAGGGAUGUGCCCACAGGUCAAGAUGGCAGCUGCAUAGACCAGGUACCCCAGGCUCUUCCAAGGCAGAGAAGUCCUCUCCAUGUCCUGGCCAUGCACCCAGGCUCUAGGGCUAAGAGAAGGCGGACUGUGUUCCUUUGUAGUCACUUGGUUCAGUCCCUGAGAAAUGGUACACCAUGCCACGGAGGUGAUUAUGCCCAGGCCUAAACUCAAGUCGUCCCAUCCGCCAAACCCUCUCUACCAGAAACCAGCACCCCCUGCCCAUGAGUGUUCCCGGCAUCUUCACUCUGUAAAUAACUUCACAAGACCAUGCGGAACAGGAUUUAUUCUAUGUCCGAUCUAUGAGCAGCAGAGGCUCAGAGAAGUUGUGUCGUCUGCACAAAACCACACAGCAGGAGGGGGUCUUUUGAUGAACCUGGAGCUCAUCAAUUCAGCAGGUCUAGCUGCCAGCAAGCACCAAGAAUCCAUCUGUCUCUACCUCCCCAGCACCAAGAUUAUAGGCAUGUGUCACCACUCCUGGCUUUAAUAUGGGAUCCGUGGACCCAAACUCAGGUCUGUGUGCCUGUGUGGCAAGCACUGUGCCA